UGUUAAAACUUCUAUACAUUUUUACGGUCAAAAAUUGGUGCGACGGACAAACGUUACCUGUUACGUUUACCUCAUUUUGACAUAUAGAAACUAAUUUUUAAUAGUAGAAUUGGAUAGAAUUUUUAACA
rfam:Gossypium raimondii Chr02_contig_1396, whole genome shotgun sequence.